GACGAACGCUGGCGGCGUGCCUAAUACAUGCAAGUGGAACGCACUGAUGAAGCCGUAGCUUGCUACAAUUUCAUCAGUGAGUCGCGAACGGGUGAGUAACGCGUAGGUAACCUGCCUGGUAGCGGGGGAUAACUAUUGGAAACGAUAGCUAAUACCGCAUAAGACAUUUUACUGCAUGGUAAGAUGUUAAAAGAUGCAACUGCAUCACUACCAGAUGGACCUGCGUUGUAUUAGCUAGUUGGUGAGGUAACGGCUCACCAAGGCCACGAUACAUAGCCGACCUGAGAGGGUGAUCGGCCACACUGGGACUGAGACACGGCCCAGACUCCUACGGGAGGCAGCAGUAGGGAAUCUUCGGCAAUGGGGGGAACCCUGACCGAGCAACGCCGCGUGAGUGAAAGAAAGGUUUUUCGGGAUCGUAAAAGCUCUGUCGUAAAGAGA
rnacentral:rRNA from 1 species